GACAAACGCUGGCGGCGUGCCUAAAACAUGCAAGUCGAACGAGCCGAUUUAUCGGCGAGUGGCGGACGGCUGAGUAACACGUGGGUAACCUACCCUUGAGUGGGGGAAUAACCCUCCGAAAGGAGGGCUAAUACCGCAUACGACCGCCCCGCUACGGCGGGGUGAGGAAAGUCGCAAGGCGCUCGAGGAGGGGCCUGCGUCCGAUUAGCUUGUUGGUGAGGUAACGGCCCACCAAGGCGACGAUCGGUAGCUGGUCUGAGAGGAUGAUCAGCCAGACUGGGACUGCGACACGGCCCAGACUCCUACGGGAGGCAGCAGUUAGGAAUCUUGGGCAAUGGGCGAAAGCCUGACCCAGCAACGCCGCGUGGGUGACGAAGGCCUUCGGGUCGUAA
rnacentral:rRNA from 1 species